CUGGAGAGAAGGGAAGUGAGGCAGACGUUAUGCCUCUCCUCUCUAGGACAGAGGCGAAGAAGCUAUGACCCAAGAUGGACAUAGGCUAGAAUCUUCCUGACCAUUGCUCAUUUGGAGAGCUGCUUGCCUCACUGAAAACUCUCUGCGGUCCCCUCUGACAACUUCACCAAAGGCUUAACAGCAAUGGGCCCUAGGAUUAUAAAUUUGACUGCCUAAAAUCUCAUGUGAUCAUGACCCUAUAUAUGAUGGAGAAAUAGAAACCUCGUCUGGAUUACUACCUUGUAUGGAGUCCACCUGUUUUAGUUGCUGAAUCAAUUUAUUAUUGGUGACCACUGCCUAUGACAUUACAGGAAGAGUUUCAGAAAAGAUCCUAGGUUUUAUGGAUAUUCUUUGUGUACUCUGCCUGUUUUGUGUGAAAUUAUGCAUCCAGAUUGCACAUUAAUUUUUCAGAUUCCUGUGUUCUACUGAAACAAUAGCUCAAAAGGUCACAAAGUGGGGUUAAUUAUCAGUAGAGUCCAUCUCUCGUAGCUCCUUUGUUGUGACUUCUUAUUCCUUGAGACAGAAGCUGAGUGAACCAGCACUCUCAGUUGAGAAAAUAAAUAAAAUCAAACUAAAGGGAAAAAUAAAUAAAUUCUAGGUGUGUAAUCCCUUGCAGUACAUGUCAAAACAUUUCUUGCCACAUUCAUCUGGAUUUAUAAGUCUUGGUUGUCAACAAGUAAAACACAAAAUAUAUUUAUUUUUGAUGACAAAAAAAAUGACAUUUUGUACCAAAAUACUAACAUGAGAAACUCUAUGAAAGAUGAGGGAAGACUAACUGGAGCAGAAUCUUUCUAAUAAUGGUGAUGGCUGAGACUAAUUUAUUUUUGAAGAAGCUUUGGUGUGUGUUGUAUCGUGUGUAUUUGUGUUUAUGUGCAUAUGACAAGGAAAUCAUUAAAUAGCGUUUAUAACCUUUUCUGUGCUAAGUAAAUAUGAAUUAGCACCUCCGAUGUUACUGAAAAGAUUUACAGAUGAUAACUAAGUGGCUGUCUUAUCAAAGCUGUAUACAAACACACACGGUCACAGAGACAUCUCUCACCAAAUUUGAGUAGUUUUACAUAACAAUUUUAAGAUUCUAUUUUCUUUUUGAUAUUGGAAUAAUAUAUUAUUAUUGCUUACUGACAUCUAUCAGUUAAGGAGACAUUAGAGACUGUAUUAUGACCAUAGAUGGACAAAUUUAUAAGAUGCUUCUGUAAAAGGAAAGUUCAAGAUGCCUUGAGAGUAUAAGAAAUUUAAAAAUAUUUAUGUUUGAAAUUAAUGUCUAAGAAAUAUGCAAUAUUAAAAUGUACCAGUAACAUUCUGUAGAUAGAGUAACUGUUUUCAGAUAUGAAUUCACCACCAAUAAUGAUUUUAUUUUCAAUAAAGAAGGGCAUAAGAAUAUUUGCAAAGAGUUCAAUACUAUAUCAUCCAAUAUACCUCUGACCUCCAUUUUAUUUCCUCCUCCUUAAUUAUCACCUUCCCAUAUUCAUUAGUUCAUUUAUUUUUCCCAUUGAGACUCACUAGAUUUAUCCAGAAAUGUCUACGCAACCACAAGAAAGGAAAUAUUAGCUCCUCACUGGGUAGGAAAUUGAAAAUAAUGUUGCUCUUUCAGGAUACAUCAGUAGUUAAUAAUUCAGGAAUAAGAAAUAACAUUUGAAGCUCCUUGCUAAUUCAUGAUGGAAUGUUGAUAAGCUCAGUUUUGUGUAGCCCAUUGCAGUAAAUAAUAACUGUUGUGAGGUCAAGACUGCAUUAGUAAUGACACGUUCAAAAGAGAGUAUGUCACAGUCCUUUUGUCUAGUUUCGACACCUUGCACUCUGUUCUAGUCUCUCUUGAAGAACCUGAAUGUCAGUGGUAUAAACAUUCUGAAUAGUUCUGAGAACUCAGGGGUCAGCUAUUCUCAGCACUUUAAGCAGACAAGUUAAACUUUAACAUCAAUACUUUGAACCAAUGUAUAGGGGUUAUUGCUCCAUUUAUUUGUCUCUAUUUUUAUUUCUUUCACUAUCACUAAAGUUUUCUUCCCCAUGACUCACCACCACAAGCUAAUGGAUCCAAGUUCAGAACUCAGGGUAUUUAUGACAUUUACUGAUUAUAUAAUAAAUGUUUUAUGAAUGGGUUUCUGAUCUUUGAUAGAACAGUGACAGCUACAAUAGGAAGAUGAAUCUAAAAAAUCCUGGAGGUUGAUGCAUGAUAAAAUGUGAAGGUGGAGUUAAACAAAGGGGGAAAAGAAAAGAAAAACACUGGAAAGACAGACCAGUGUUGGUUAUGAUCCCACAUUGCAGAGGCUAGCCACUGUUAUUACCUUACCUUACAGAUACAUUUGUUAUCUAACUUCUUUCUGUGCUGUUCUAACAAGACAGUGGCAGUCUUGCUCUUCUACAAAAAGAGAUUCUAGUCUUAGAUUUUAAGUCUCUAAUUCACCAUAUCUUGUGCUUGAUCAUGUUUCAGCUCAGCUGUUCCUUCUGUAGUUAACUUUUUCUACCUGGGCACAUCCAAGCCACUUCAGCUGAAUUUCUAAAUAAAUGAAUGAACAUUAAAAUAAUUAACAUUACAUUGUAUUAUUCCUUUGACUGACCUUUAGUGGCCUUCAUUCCCUUUACUAGCCUUUGAAAAUCAUUUAUAUCUACAAAUAUUCUCGCUUCUAAUACCUACUAAAUGACCUUCAUUCUAAAUUCUUACUUAUAUGAAAGCGCAGUGGCAGCUUCCGUGUGAAAAUCUUCUUAUUUUAUGCAACAGUGAAUCAUUUUAAGCCAUAUAUUUUCUCAUUAUUCUAUAUAGGUUGUCUGAUGAUAAACAUUUGUGCUGGCUAAUCUUAUGUCAAGGUAGGGUCACCUGAAAGGAGGGAAGCUAAAUGGAGAAAAAUGACUCUAUUGGAUUCAGUUGUCAGGCAUUUUCUUAAUUACUGAUUGAUGGGGCAGGGCCAAGCCCAUUGUAGGUGGUACAAUGCCUUUCCUGGUGGUCCUGGGCUCUAUGAGAAAGAAGAAUGAGCAAGUGGUGGGAAGAAAGCCGGUGAGCAGCACCCUUCUAAAGCCUCCUUCUCAGCUUGUGCUCUGGGUUCCUGCCCUGUUUGAAUUCCUUUUCUGACUUACUUUGAUG